rnacentral:rRNA from 1 species
GACGAACGCUGGCGGCGUGCUUAACACAUGCAAGUCGAACGAUGAAGCCCAGCUUGCUGGGUGGAAGAGUGGCGAACGGGUGAGUAACACGUGAGUAACCUGCCCUGAACUCUGGGAUAAGCACUGGAAACGGUGUCUAAUACUGGAUACGACCUAUCACCGCAUGGUGUGUGGGUGGAAAGAUUUAUCGGUUUUGGAUGGACUCGCGGCCUAUCAGCUAGAUGGUGAGGUAAUGGCUCACCAUGGCGACGACGGGUAGCCGGCCUGAGAGGGUGACCGGCCACACUGGGACUGAGACACGGCCCAGACUCCUACGGGAGGCAGCAGUGGGAAAUAUUGCACAAUGGGCGCAAGCCUGAUGCAGCAACGCCGCGUGAGGGAUGACGGCCUUCGGGUUGUAAACCUCUUUUAGUAGGGAAGAAGCGAAAGUGACGGUACCUGCAGAAAAAGCACCGGCUAACUACGUGCCAGCAGCCGCGGUAAUACGUAGGGUGCAAGCGUUGUCCGGAAUUAUUGGGCGUAAAGAGCUCGUAGGCGGCUUGUCGCGUCUGCUGUGAAAUCCCGGGGCUCAACCCCGGGUCUGCAGUGGGUACGGGCAAGCUAGAGUGCGGUAGGG